UAUAGUCUAGUAUAUUUGACCAUGUUAUGCUAGAUCUAUAAUCUUCUAUAAAUACCAUAUAUGUUCCUAUUUACCAUGAGUUCCAAUCACAUAUCAUGCACCCUUUUGAUAUUUUGGUGGAGUUAGUUGAUCUCUCUUUAGUUCGACCUUUAGGUUUGGUUAAGGAUGUAGUUGUUAGGGUCGAUAGUCUGUCAUUUCAUGUUGACUUCUAUGUAGUGAAUGUUAAUACUUCCACUUCUCCCUCUGAAUUAUUUGUUCUGUUAGGGAUACCCUUCUUAAAGACAGUGAAAGUUGUAGUUAAUGUUGACAAAUGGUCUCUUAGGAUCAAACAUGGAGACCAAAUCUUAAACCUUUACAAUGUUCCAUGAUAAUUCUUCUGCUAAUCCUAUUUGUUUUAGUUCUGUUAUCUUUCAGGAUAUUAGGCCACCUCCUAAUUUGGGGGUGGAGGAUGUCAGCUCCGAUCUUCCAAGAGAUCAUGGUUGAUGAAGCCGAGUAGGUUGAGCAUAGCGACUUUAGAAAAUUGUGCUCCCUGGAGGCAGCCAUGAUUUUGUAGGUUCCUUUCAAUUAUUUUUAUUUUAUUUGAUCUAAUCUUUUUCUGUCAUUCUUGAUUUUAGGAAAUUUUGGAAGAAUGCAUCUUUUUGUGAGUUAAACGUCCAUCCUCAGUAAGCCAAAUUCCAGUGUUUAGCAAUUCAAAGAAAGAAUGUGGUGAUUAUGCCAUUUUAGAGCUAAUUUAGGCCGUUUGGAGCCAAAUGGCGUCAACCGAGGCAACACAGAGCAAAAAUCAAGAGUUUGUCCAUUGGAGCCUCGACGUUGUGGCGUCAAAAGAUAGAAUGCUUUUUCCUUGUGACGGAAUUUGCUAAGCAUCGUGACGCUCCGAAGUAAUGUCGUGCGAGUUUUUUUGUCAGCACCACGAAACUCCCCUCAAGCAAACCCUAUUUUCAUUUCAACCAACUUACACAUAUUCUCUCCCUAUAUUCUAAGUCUUUUCAUGUACUUUUGGUUUUCAAACAUCCUUUCAUUAUCCGACAUGUGGAUGAGAGGCUAAGGUACUCGUUUUCUAGUUUGAAUUUGUUAGAUUCUCCUUUUAUCCCUUUGAAUGAAGUUUUGCUAUAUGUCUAGAUGCA